AUCAGAUGGUGGUAUGAGCUGUUGUCAUGCUUUGUGAAUAGGGACCCUAUAAAUUCCUUAGGUAGAUUGACAUACUAAUGUUGGAGGCUCCUGCAGCAGAGAGAUUUCCAGAGCUGAUGCAGAGCAUCUCUGCAGUGUAGAGGGCAGUACUAAUUCAGAGCUCAGAUUCAAACUGGUUCUUAGAAGCAGGAUAUAGGUGAUAAGGAGAUGGCCUCACUGAAAGAAAUAAAAGAGGCAACCUGAAGCCUAGUUGAUUAAUUUGCCUACUGGAGAUCAAGGUCUUUAUUUUUCUACUUCCUUCUUGGAUUUAUCAGAGUAACUGUGACAAGUGAAAGUCAAACAACAGUAAUGUCAAAAAGCUUUCAAAUAAAAACCAAGAUAUGGAUUUGAUUCAAAUGGAUUUGUUGGGAAUCUCUUAAGAAGAUGUAUUUCCUUCUCAGGAAAGAGGGAGGCAACUACCUGACACCUGGAGAUUAUGAAAGUCAUGAAAUUCAGCCAAAAUCUGUUGGCAAUACUUGAACGAAGCCAACACAAUUUACUGAUAUUGUAUUUUCUGCAAUGUCUUCAAGAGCAGAAGAAUGGACUAGGGACUUUAAAAGAGAGAAAAGGUAAAACUUUUGACAUUUUUAGGAAAUAAAAAUUGCAACUUUGUAAUUACCAUAUUUUGAGUCUGCUAUGAAAAAGGUACCAUAAUAACAUAAACCAUAUAAUAACACAAAACUGUUCACACUGGGUCAAAUCAAAGAUUCAUCCAGGUCUGUAACCUGUUAUUAGUUGUGAGAGACAGCAGACACCUGUGUAGGAAUAUGACAAGUCAAUCAUGUAGACAAAUAUACCCAAUAUAUUCCUUGUCUAAAGUUAUCUGGGUUUCUGCAGAUAGAUGUCUUAUAUAAUAUGAAAUAAUACUUCAAAAGGAAAACCACAGAGAAGUGGACAGAGGUGUUAUGUUUGUUUUUGAUAGUUGUUGAUGGGUUUCUGUGUUGACGGAUCCUCCCCCCCGUUUUUUCUAGUUGCUUUUCAAAUACAUUCCCUCAUGUGGGAAGGAGAUCAACA
rnacentral:lncRNA from 1 species